rnacentral:rRNA from 1 species
UACAGAGGUCUCAAGCGUUGUUCGGAUUCAUUGGGCGUAAAGGGUGUGUAGGUGGCGCGCUAAGUCGGGUGUGAAAUAUCGGAGCUUAACUCCGAAACUGCAUUCGAUACUGGCGUGCUUGAGGACUGGAGAGGAGACUGGAAUUCAUGGUGUAGCAGUGAAAUGCGUAGAGAUCAUGAGGAAGACCAGUGGCGAAGGCGGGUCUCUGGGCCGAUACUGACGCUGAGGAGCGAAAGCGUGGGGAGCGAACAGG